rnacentral:rRNA from 1 species
UACGGGGGGGGGAAGCGUUGUUCGGAAUUACUGGGCGUAAAGGGCUCGUAGGCGGCCAACUAAGUCGGACGUGAAAUCCCUCAGCUUAACUGGGGAACUGCGUCCGAUACUGGAUGGCUUGGAUUUGGGAGAGGGAUGCGGAAUUCCAGGUGUAGCGGUGAAAUGCGUAGAUAUCUGGAGGAACACCGGUGGCGAAGGCGGCAUCCUGGACUGGGAUUGACACUGAGGCGCGAAAGCCAGGGGAGCAAACGGG